UACGUAGGGGGCGAGCGUUGUCCGGAUUUAUUGGGCGUAAAGAGCGUGUAGGCGGUUCGGUAAGUCUGUCGUGAAAUCCUGAGGCUCAACCUCGGGCGUGCGAUGGAUACUGCCGGGCUAGAGGAUGGUAGAGGCGAGUGGAAUUCCCGGUGUAGCGGUGAAAUGCGCAGAUAUCGGGAGGAACACCAGUAGCGAAGGCGGAGCUCGCUGGGCCAGUUCCG
rnacentral:rRNA from 1 species